rnacentral:rRNA from 1 species
UACGUAGGGUGCAAGCGUUGCCCGGAUUUAUUGGGCGUAAAGAGCGUGUAGGCGGCCAGACAGGUCCGUUGUGAAAACUAGAGGCUUAACCUCUAGACGUCGAUGGAAACCGUCUGGCUAGAGUCCGGAAGAGGAGAAUGGAAUUCCUGGUGUAGCGGUGAAAUGCGCAGAUAUCAGGAAGAACACCCGUGGCUAAGGCGGUUCUCUAGUACGGUACUGACGCUGAGACGCGAAAGCGUGGGGAGCGAACAGG